AACGAACGCUGGCGGCAUGCCUAACACAUGCAAGUCGAACGAGACCUUCGGGUCUAGUGGCGCACGGGUGCGUAACGCGUGGGAACCUGCCCUUAGAUUCGGAAUAACUCCCCGAAAGGGGUGCUAAUACCGGAUAAUGUCUUCGGACCAAAGAUUUAUCGCCUUUGGAUGGGCCCGCGUUGGAUUAGCUAGUUGGUAGGGUAAAAGCCUACCAAGGCGACGAUCCAUAGCUGGUCUGAGAGGAUGAUCAGCCACACUGGGACUGAGACACGGUCCAGACUCCUACGGGAGGCAGCAGUGGGGAAUAUUGGACAAUGGGCGAAAGGCUGAUCCAGCAAUGCCGCGUGAGUGAUGAAGGCCUUAGGGUUGUAAAGCUCUUUUACCCGGGAUGAUAAUGACAGUACCGGGAGAAUAAGCUCCGGCUAACUCCGUG
rnacentral:rRNA from 1 species